UAGGGAAUCUUGCGCAAUGGGCGAAAGCCUGACGCAGCCAUGCCGCGUGAAUGAUGAAGGUCUUAGGAUUGUAAAAUUCUUUCACCGGGGACGAUAAUGACGGUACCCGGAGAAGAAGCCCCGGCUAACUUCGUGCCAGCAGCCGCGGUAAUACGAAGGGGGCUAGCGUUGCUCGGAAUUACUGGGCGUAAAGGGAGCGUAGGCGGAUAGUUUAGUCAGAGGUGAAAGCCCAGGGCUCAACCUUGGAAUUGCCUUUGAUACUGGCUAUCUUGAGUAUGGGAGAGGUAUGUGGAACUCCGAGUGUAGAGGUGAAAUUCGUAGAUAUUCGGAAGAACACCAGUGGCGAAGGCGACAUACUGGCCCAUUACUGACGCUGAGGCUCGAAAAGCGUGGGGAGCAAACAGGAUUAGAUACCCUGGUAGUCCACGCCGUAAACGAUGAGUGCUAGUUGUCGGCAUGCAUGCAUGUCGGUGACGCAGCUAACGCAUUAAGCACUCCGCCU
rnacentral:rRNA from 1 species